rnacentral:rRNA from 1 species
GAUGAACGCUGGCGGCGUGCCUAAUACAUGCAAGUCGAGCGAACAGACGAGGAGCUUGCUCCUCUGACGUUAGCGGCGGACGGGUGAGUAACACGUGGAUAACCUACCUAUAAGACUGGGAUAACUUCGGGAAACCGGAGCUAAUACCGGAUAAUAUAUUGAACCGCAUGGUUCAAUAGUGAAAGACGGUUUUGCUGUCACUUAUAGAUGGAUCCGCGCCGCAUUAGCUAGUUGGUAAGGUAACGGCUUACCAAGGCAACGAUGCGUAGCCGACCUGAGAGGUGGAUCGCCCACAGGGGACAGGAGAACGGGCCCAAACCCCUAGGGGAGGCAAGAGGGGGAAAUCUCCCGAAAGGGGCGAAAGCCUAACGGGGAAACGCCGGGGGAGGAAGAAGGUCUUCGGGAUGGUAAAACUCUUUUAUGAGGAAAAAAAAAAUGUGAAAGUAAAUAUGCCCGUCUGGACGGUCCUUAAGCAAAAAGCCACGGCUAACUACGU